rnacentral:rRNA from 1 species
UACGUAGGGGGCGAGCGUUUGUCCGGAAUCAUUGGGCGUAAAGAGCUCGUAGGCGGUUCAGUAAGUCAGGUGUGAAAGCUCCGAGCUCAACUCGGAGAGGCCACCUGAUACUGCUGUGACUAGAAUCCAGUAGGGGAGUGUGGAACUCCUGGUGUAGCGGUGAAAUGCGCGAGAUAGUCAGGAGGAACACCGGUGGCGAAGGCGGUU